ensembl:lncRNA
UUUAAAAAGCUGACUGUGAGUAAAAUAAAAUAAGAAAAAAAGAAUUUGACUUUUCGUAAGAUUACGUCCUAAUUAUUUUUUUUCCUGUGGAAAAACGAGGUGUUUUAUUCAAUACUACGCGUUUUGAGCGAUAAGUAAGGGAUGGAUGGAUCAAACACUCGCAAAGGAGUGCUGUGAGAGGAAAAUAAUCAGCGGCGGUCCUGUGAGAGACGAAGCUGAAUUAGGGCGGGUGUCCGGCACAGUGUUUUAUUCCUCUUGCGCCACAGAGAUUAUCGUUCAUCGGCAAACGAGAUGUCGUACGGAGUAAGUUAGUUCGGCUGCAAACGUUCGUUCUGUGACUAAGGGAGAGAGUGAGGGAGAGGAGGAGGAAAGACACAAAAAGCAGAAGAGCGUGCAAGAAAAGUUAAUCUCGGGCGCUUAACGCCGGGGACGGAGACGUAACUGUGCCGUUGCGUCACUUUCUCGCAGCAGGUCUAAUCACGCGUUAAACGCAGACGUUCUGUUUCCGAACCAACCUCGGCUCUCACUAGUAAACGUUUCGUCUGCGGUGCAGCGGCGUGAACGGGCGCCGGGGCGGAGAGAUGACGCCGGAAAAUGAAAACAUACUACGAUGUCUCGUAAAAGGAUAUCGCGGCGUAACGAAUCGCGAUCAGCUGCCAUUCGGAUCGGGUUCGUUUAUCAGAGGGACGUCUCCUCAGCAGUUUAAACGUGCGUCUGAGUAAGGGGCGGGUUUCUAGCCGGUUGUAUUUCCCAUGAACCUGGAUGUUCGCACCGUGCGGUCAUAUGACCACGCUCUGUUCACGAUACGCGUAAUAAAGAUGUUUUACGGAGUCACGUUAAUCUGAAUGAAAAAAGUGCACGUAUACACAUCAGUUGGGAUGAAAACAUUUACAGAUGCACAUUAAUCAAAGUAAAAACAUUAACAUUCACGUCAGUCUGAAUAAAAACGUUCACGUAUAUACACGUUAUUCGGAGUAUUAAAACGUUCACGUAUAUACACAUUAUUCGGAGUAUUAAAACGUUCACGUAUAUACACGUUAUUCGGAGUAUUAAAACGUUCACGUAUAUACACAUUAUUCGGAGUAUUAAAACGUUCACGUAUAUACACGUUAUUCGGAGUAUAAAAUGUUCACGUAUACACAUUUUAUCCGGAAUAUAAAAUGUUCACGUUUACACAUUUUAUCCGGAAUAUAAAAACGUUCACGUAUACACACUUUAUCCGGAAUAUAAAAACGUUCAUAUAUACACACUUUAAUUUGAAUGAAAAGGUUCACGUAUGCACGUCACUCGGCACGAAAACGUUCGCUUAUACACGUUAAUCGGAAUAAAGUGUUCAUGCAUACACCUUAAUCAGAUUUAAAAACUCUCACGUAUUCAUGUCCGUCAGAAUAAAAAGGCUAAUGUGUAUAUACACUUUGUUCGGAAUAAAAACGUUCACGUAUACACGUUAACCAGAAUAAAAUGUUCAUGUAUACACCUUAAUCAGGUUUAAAAACACUCACGUAUUCAAUCUGAAUAAUAAAUGUUCACGUCCAUGCACCUUAUUUGGGAUAAAAUUAUUUACUUAUAUGCGUCAGUCUGAAUAAACGGGUUCACGUAUGUGGGUUAGUCGGAAUAAACGGGUUCACGUGUGCGCGUCAGCCGGAAUAAAAACAUUCACAGAUGCACAUUAAUCAAAGUGAAAACGUUAGCAUUCACGGCAAUCUGAAUAAAAACAUUCAUGUACGUACACUUUAUUCGGAAUAAAAACGUUCACGUAUAUUCGCUUUAUUCGGAAUAAAAACGUUCACGUACACGCUUUAUUCGGAAUAAAAACGUUCGCACACACGCUUUAUUCGGAAUAAAAACGUUCACGUAUAUUCGCUUUAUUCGGAAUAAAAACGUUCACGUACACGCUUUAUUCGGAAUAAAAACGUUCACGUACACGCUUUAUUCGGAAUAAAAACGUUCGCGUACACGCUUUAUUCGGAAUAAAAACGUUCGCGUACACGCUUUAUUCGGAAUAAAAACGUUCGCGUACACGCUUUAUUCGGAAUAAAAACGUUCGCGUACACGCUUUAUUCGAAAUAAAAACGUUCACGUACACGCUUUAUUCGGAAUAAAAACGUUCGCGUACACGCUUUAUUCGGAAUAAAAACGUUCACGUACACGCUUUAUUCGGAAUAAAAACGUUC